AGUCAGGGACACAGAAGCCACCUGUACCACCCUUUUCAGGACAGAGCCCUCUGCCCCAGCCCAGCAGAAUUAAGUCUGCAAGCCAUCCCCCAACUCUGGAAUCCACAGGAAUCAUGGGAGGCAGCCCUUGGGAUUCAGGUUCUCCGUCUGAAUAUCUUUUGCGAAGUCUCUCCCCUUGCUUCCCUAUGACAACAAAAUGACAAGAGGCCAGAAGGCCUCUGGGAAGGGUGUCAUGGGGGCAGAAAGACACUCUUAGGCAGCUCUGUCCCCAUGCCAGCUCGGCCACUGACUAGCUCUAAGAUCUUGGGCAAGACACUUAAUGCUUGAGCCUCAGUUUCCCUCAUCUGUAAAUGGUGACAAGACUUACCUUGCAGAGUGUCACAAAAACUAAAUGAAAAAUGUACAAGCGUCCAGCACUGGGCUGUAAUCAUUGCCCACCCCCUCAGAUGAUGCAGAAGAGGGGAAAGGAUCCCCCUUCCCCCUAGAGGGAACCUACAGCCUCUACCUGCAAACCAGACUCCCUUCAGGCUGCGUCCUAGGGAGAAGGAGUUAUGUCCAGAUCUCGGAACCCCAGAGAUCCCUGCCCAUUGGCGCCGCUGAAAUUUUAAUAAGCCCGAGACAGAAUAAAAAACUGCUACAUAAUGCAUAGAAGCUGGGCAGCAAAGGCACAUCAGCUAUGGUUUCCCAAGACGGCUGCCUGGGGGCUCUUCAUGGUCCAGUAACCCAACACCCGUUCUCUGACACCCCCACUGACCACAAGCUAACAGGCGGCAGGGGUGGGCCUAGGGAACGAGACUAAGAGGAUGAGCUCCCCACACACAAACUGUGGGCUCUGAAAGAGGCAGGUGAAUUCCACCACCCGUCAGACUCCUCACGGCUCCUGAAUCAAUACAGGCCUCUCCACCUACAGAUGGAGGGCGGCACCCGGGGCCCGGUGGACACAAGCUGCCUGAUGUGUAAAGAGCAAGGAUCGACCUCAACUGCUUUCCUCUCCUCUGCCCCACGAAAGGGAAGUAAUGGGGCUUCACCAACAGCUGCCCCUUACGUGGGGAUACCUGCCCCUCUGUGAGAGAAACCAAAUCUCCGCCAUGUAACAGGUGGUCCCCACAGCCUGACUGGCCAAGCUCCCUGGGGUGCCCACAGUGCCAGUCUGGCCCUUUAACCCCACGGGACCUUUGUGAGGGGCAGAACCAGGGCUCUCAGUCACUCUGCCACCAACUCCCCAACAUUUUAAGCUUCUUGGGUUUCCAUUUCCUUUUACAGAGCUGGGGCAAAGCCCAAUCCAGGGCCACUCAAGGAGGCCCGUGAACAGGUGCUGGCCCAGAAACUGUUACUGUCCUGUGAUGAGGAACUACAGAAACGUACAAUUCAGACAAUUUCCCAUUUUAACCCAAUGAGAGGAAAGACCGUUUUUGCAAACUUGUGAUUGUUAGAGGGCCUGAGGCCCCCGAUGCUCAAGUACUGAAAUGCUCCAGACGGCGGGACUUUGGACCCCAGGUUGCCUGUCCUUCUGCCACCCCACGGAGAUCCACAAGGUGAUCUGGUCGAUCCCCAAGGGGUCCUUCUUGACACCCUGCCCCCCACUGCCUUUGGCUGCAGGGACCUUGGAUUAAGGACCCACCCUACUCCACUAUGACCUCAUCUUAACUAAGUACAUCUACAAUGGCCCUAUUUCCAAAUAAAGUCACAUUCUGAGGUGAUGUACUGGGCCCAGGUUAGGACUUCAACAUAUCUUUGUGGGGGACACAAUUCAUAAAACUGAUCUAUAGAUUUAACACAAUUCCAAUCAGAUCCCAGCAGGAAUUCUUGUAGAUACAGACGAGCUGAUUCUAAAGUUUAUAUGGAAAGGCCAAGAAACGAGAAUAGCUAAAAACAAUUUUGAAAAAGAAGAAUAAAGUUGGAGGAAUGACAUGAUCUGAUUUUAGGAUUUACAACAAGGCUUGCAGUAUUAAUCAAGAGUGUGGUGUUGUCAGAGGAAUGGACACAUAGAUCAAUGAAACAAUAGAGAGCCUAGAAAUAGAUCCACAUAAAUAUAGCCAAUUGAUUUUGACAAAGGUGCAGAGGAAUUCAAUGGAGAAAGGAUAGCCUUUCCAACAGAUGGUGCUGGAACUACUGGACAUCUACAUGCAAGAGAAGUGAACCUUGUCCUAAACCUCACACAGUAUACUAAAAUUAAGUCAAAAUGAGUUAUAGAUCUAAAUGUAAAAUCUAAAACUAUGAAACGUCUAGAAGAAAACAUAGGAGAAAAUCUUCAUGACUUGUGGUUAGUCAAAGAGUUCCUAAAACAUGACACUAAAACCAAGAUCCAUGAAAGAAAAUAACUGAUAAAUUGGACUUUAUCAAUUUAUCAAAAGAAUCUCUGAAAGACACUGUUAGAAGAACUAAAAGACAAAAAAUUUUAAAAAUAAAAAAACUAAAAGACGAGUUAUGGGCUGAGACACAAUAUUUACAAAUCAUAUAUUUGACGAAAGACUUGUAUCCAGAAUUCAUUAAAAACUCUUAAAACUGAACAGUAAGAAAACGACCAACCAUUUUUUUUUAAUUGGAGUAUAAUUGCUUUACAAUGUUGUGUUAGUUUCUGCUGUACAAUGAAGUGAAGUGAAUCAGCUAUAUGUAUACAUACAUCCCCUCCCUCUUGGACCUCCCACCUCACCCCCAUCCCACCCAUCUAGGUCACCACAGAGCACCGAGCUGAGCUCCCUGUGCUAUACAGCAGAUUCCCACUAGCUAUCUAUUUUACACAUGGUAGUGUAUUUAUGUCAAACCUAAUCUCCCAAUUCAUCCCACCCUCCCCUUCCCCCUGUGUCCACACGUUCUUUCUCUAUGCCUGCAUCUCUAUGUCUACGUCUUUAUUCCUGCCCUGUCACUCGGUUCAUCAGUACCAUUUUUUUUAGAUGCCAUAUAUAUGUGUUAGCAUAUGGUAUUUGUUUUUCUCUUUCUGACUUACUUCACUCUGUAUGACAGACUCUAGGGCCAUCCACCUCACUACAAAUAACUCAAUUUCGUUUCUUUUUAUGUCUGAGUAAUAUUCCAUU